GGUGACUACACUCUCAGGAAAGCCACGGCUGGGGUCUGAACUCUAUGUUGCAGAUUCCAAUCCUUCCAGGACCUCCUGCCCGUCUCCUCUAAGGCAUGCUUUCUUCUGGGGUGGCAGCCUCACCUGGCUCCUCCAGGAUGUCAGAGAUACCCUCCACCAGGGAGGCAGCUUUCUUGCAAUUCUCGGGAUACUGGGCUACCACCCAGGGACGGACCCUGUCUGGCAAGAUGCCCAGGAACUGCUCCAGAACGAGCAGCUCCAGGAUCUGCUCUUUGGAGCAGGCCUCGGGCCUCAGCCACUGGCGGCAUAGCUCAUGAAGCCUGGCCAAAGUCUGGUGAGGCCCAGCUGCCUCCUGGUAGACAAACUCCCGGAAGCGGAGGCGGGAAAACUCGAGGUCAGCAGCAGAUCUCUCAGUGAUGGUUUCUGUUUCCUUCAGCUGGCUAGGCUCUUCCUGUUGGUUGCAUUGAUCCUUCUGGCUAGGCUCUUCCUGUUGGCUGAGUUCUGCCUGUUGGUUGGGUUGAUCCUUCUGGCUAGGCUCUUGUUGUUGGCUGGGUUCCUCCUGUUGGUUGCAUUGAUCCUUCUGGCUAGGCUCUUCCUGUUGGCUGAGCUCCUCCUGCUGGCUGGGUUGAUCUUUCUGACUAGGCUCUUGCUGUUGGCUGGGUUCCUCCUGCUGGCUGGGUUGAUCCUUCUGGCUAGGCUCUUGCUGUUGGCUGGGUUCCUCCUGUUGGUAUGGUUGAGCCUUCUGGCUAGACUCCUUCUGUUGACUGAGCUCCUCCUGCUGGCUGGAUUCCUCCUGCUGGCUGGAUUCCUCCUGCUGGCUGGGUUCCUCCUGUUCACUGAACCUUACCUGCUGAAUUGGCUUCUCUUGCUGAAUAAAUUCUUCUUUUUGGGUGCACUUAUCCUGCUGAAUGAACUCCUCCCGCAGAAUCAAUUCCUUCUGGAUGGGCCUCACCUGAUGAAUGAGUUCACGUUGGAUGGAAGCAUCCUGCUGAAUGGGCUCCUCCUGCUGGGUGAGUUCUUCCUGUUGGAUGGGCUUAUCCUGUUCAAUGGGCUCUGUCUGCUGCAUGAGUUCUUCCUGCUGCAUGGGUUCAUCUUGCUGCAUGGGUUCUUCCCACUGGCUGGGCUCAUCCUGCUGCAUAGGUUCUUCCUGCUGCAUGGGUACAUCCUUUUGGCCAGGUUCUCCCCACUGGCUGGGUUCUUGCAGUUGGACAGACUCUUCCUCUUGACUGGGCUCAUCCUGUUGACUAGGUUCUUGCUGCUCACUGAGUUCUUCCCUCUGACUAGUUUCCAGCAGCUGGAUGGGUUCUUCUUUCCGGAUGAGUUCAUCCUGCCUCCUGCAUUCCUCCUGCUGGCUAGGUUCUUGUUGCUUAAUGAGUCCUUCCUGCUGGAUGGGUUCCUCCUGCUGGCCAGGUUCUUCCUGCUGUACUGUAUCUUUUGACCGCAGAGUAGAUGGUUCUGGUUGGGGUGGAGAGCUUCUAGGAGAGGCUAACACCCUCUCCAAAGGCAGCAUCUUCACAGGCUGCCACAGAAAUAUAACUGCC
rnacentral:lncRNA from 1 species